AAGUGUCCAGAGCCAGAAGUCAAAAAUGGAAAAAAGCAGUCUGGCUUUGGAUCUGACUAUUCAAAUAGAAACACCGUAAUAUUUGAAUGUGAUUCUGGCUACACUCUGAAUGGUAACAGUUCAGUUAAAUUUGAAGCUAACGAUUCAUGGGUUCCAUCUUUGCCCACCUGUCUACGAUACAUGACUGAUGCUGGCUGAUGGCUAUGGUUUACAAAUUAACAGACAUUGGAAGAAAAACAUGGAAAAUUUAGGAGAUAAAUGUCAUGCAUUUGUACUAAAAUUUCUGUAGUGAAAAUAGACCCCUCUCAGGCAACUGGUGUUACUUUCACUACAACUUCUUUCCUCUGUUGAGCUGGACUUGUAGUAGGAAUCCACUGCAUUUGAGUAAAGCAGAAAGACAGGAGGUGAAUUAUUGCUCUUGCCCUUGAAAAUGGCUUCUGAAGCAAGCAAGGCAGUUAGCAGCAUCAAAAUUACUUGCUCUUCUGAAUAUGCAGCUGGUUCCUUAUUCAGCCUCUCCAUAGUGCUAAAUGUUUCCCCUUAAAGAACAUAGUCACCAUCAAAGCGUGGUAUGGUUUGGAUUGUGAGUUGUGGCUUUAACUGCAGACAGCAAGAGACACUGUUCAGAUCCCUGCCUACAAGCUGCCAUCAUUGAGUGCGUAUUACUCUUUAAACACAAAUUUAAAGAUUCAGACACUAGGUGGAAUGUUGUAAAUUCUUCAUAAAAACAUCCAUACUGGGGCAGACCAAUGGUCCAUCUAGCCAGGUGCUUCAAAGGGAAUGAACAGGGCAGUUAUCGAGUGAUCCAUCAUCCCCUGUCAGCCAGGCCCAGCUUCUGGCAAUCAGAGAGUAGGGACCCUCGGAGCAUGGGGUUGUAUCCCUAGCUAUCCUCCAUGAACAUCUCAUUCUUUUUGGAACUCAAUUAUAGUUUUGGUUUCAUGUGACCUUUCUUCAAAUUUACUCUCCAUUUACAGAUUUUUUUUUUUUUUUAAAGUAAUACUACAGAAAGAAGCCAACUCCCCUGUUUACAGCUCUGUUUGCUGGCUCCUAGGCCGCUGCAGCUGUCUGAAACUAUAAUUGAAGAUGCCUGUUAUUUAUUUGGAAUAGGCCUUUUUCUUAAAUAAAAGGGAUACUGACUAAAGACUCUAGCAUCCUGAUAUUUUUUCCAUACUUGUCAAUAGAAACUGUCUCAUUAACUAUUUAAAAGUGAUGUUGAGACCUAGCCCUGUGCUCUCAUCUAAUCACUAGCUGCUUACAGAACAGAAAGAAGUUCUUUCCUUUCCUCUUGCAGAUAAGUAUCUUUACUACUGUGGAGGGAUUUUUGUAACACGUGUCAGAAGUUGACUCAAUUCUGCAUAGCCAGACUCCUGGGGGAUCGCUGUCAGAGGAAGGAGAUCCCCACUGCUCAGAGCUGAGAUCAGUGCUAUGGCCUCCACUAUGGCUGCAGUCCUUCCCCUACCCUCACUUCCUCUUAGGGUGUGAACUGGCAAGGCAAGAUGCCACAGAGCUACUUCUGCAGAAGAUCCUGGCAUUUAACACUGGCUUUGUCAGACAAAUUUUGGUGCUGUGCACUAGACUACAGCUAGGAGGAGCUCAGUGAACUAAGAUCAAUUUCUCUCCUGCUUUCAGGUGUUCCUUUGCCAGGCAGUGGCAAAAACAAAUGUUAAGAAGGUUGGAACUCUGAAAACAGUCCUAAAACUUCUUCUAGGGUGCAGUAGGCCCAGAGCCACCAAAAUAGGAGCCCAAGCUCUGGUCCACACUACAAACUGAUGUCAGGAUAAGGACGUCACUCAGGACUGUGAAUAAUUUGUACUGACUAAAUCCUUACUGCAGACUGUGUUAUGCCGAUGAGAGAGCAGUUACAUGAAAAAUAAGUAUAAAUUUAAAAUAUUACCACCGCACCAUGCUAUAAUGUAACUUUAUUUCUCAGUUAUGUUAUCCUGGGUAUCCAUGGUCAUGCUGACGGCCAUGAGUGCCUACCUCAGGGCAGACUGUCAGAUGCGAGGCAGACACCCAAAAAUUGUAGUGAGCAAUUUUUACAAAAGCAAUGUUCCCUCUCUUGGUAUUGAUACCUCCUCCUCAAUUAUUGGGAGUGGACCACAUCCCCCUGACUGAAUUAGCCGUGUCAAUAUUGCCUGUAUAGUUAUGCCUG